GAUGAACGCUAGCGGCAGGCUUAACACAUGCAAGUCGAGGGGUAGGUUACUUCGGUAAUUGAGACCGGCGCACGGGUGCGUAACGCGUAUACAAUCUACCUUUUACAGAGGGAUAGCCCAGAGAAAUUUGGAUUAAUACCUCAUAGUAUUUUUGAAUCGCAUGAUUUGAUUAUUAAAGUUCCAACGGUAAAAGAUGAGUAUGCGUCCCAUUAGCUAGAUGGUAAGGUAACGGCUUACCAUGGCUACGAUGGGUAGGGGUCCUGAGAGGGAGAUCCCCCACACUGGUAUUGAGACACGGACCAGACUCCUACGGGAGGCAGCAGUGAGGAAUAUUGGACAAUGGGCGCAAGCCUGAUCCAGCCAUGCCGCGUGCAGGAAGAAGGUCCUAUGGAUUGUAAACUGCUUUUAUACAGGAAGAAACACCUCUACGUGUAGAGACUUGACGGUACUGUAUGAAUAAGGACCGGCUAACUCCGUGCCAGCAGCCGCGG
rnacentral:rRNA from 1 species